GGCUUAACACAUGCAAGUCGAGGGGCGGCAUGGUCUUAGCUUGCUAAGGCCGAUGGCGACCGGCGCACGGGUGAGUAACACGUAUCCAACCUGCCGUCUACUCUUGGACAGCCUUCUGAAAGGAAGAUUAAUACAAGAUGGCAUCAUGAGUCCGCAUGUUCACAUGAUUAAAGGUAUUCCGGUAGACGAUGGGGAUGCGUUCCAUUAGAUAGUAGGCGGGGUAACGGCCCACCUAGUCUUCGAUGGAUAGGGGUUCUGAGAGGAAGGUCCCCCACAUUGGAACUGAGACACGGUCCAAACUCCUACGGGAGGCAGCAGUGAGGAAUAUUGGUCAAUGGGCGAGAGCCUGAACCAGCCAAGUAGCGUGAAGGAUGACUGCCCUAUGGGUUGUAAACUUCUUUUAUAAAGGAAUAAAGUCGGGUAUGGAUACCCGUUUGCAUGUACUUUAUGAAUAAGGAUCGGCUAACUCCGUGCCAGCAGCCGCGGUAAUACGGAGGAUCCGAGCGUUAUCCGGAUUUAUUGGGUUUAAAGGGAGCGUAGAUGGAUGUUUAAGUCAGUUGUGAAAGUUUGCGGCUCAACCGUAAAAUUGCAGUUGAUACUGGAUAUCUUGAGUGCAGUUGAGGCAGGCGGAAUUCGUGGUGUAGCGGUGAAAUGCUUAGAUAUCACGAAGAACUCCGAUUGCGAAGGCAGCCUGCUAAGCUGCAACUGACAUUGAGGCUCGAAAGUGUGGGUAUCAAACAGGAUUAGAUACCCUGGUAGUCCACACGGUAAACGAUGAAUACUCGCUGUUUGCGAUAUACUGCAAGCGGCCAAGCGAAAGCGUUAAGUAUUCCACCUGGGGAGUACGCCGGCAACGGUGAAACUCAAAGGAAUUGACGGGGGCCCGCACAAGCGGAGGAACAUGUGGUUUAAUUCGAUGAUACGCGAGGAACCUUACCCGGGCUUAAAUUGCAGAUGAAUUACGGUGAAAGCCGUAAGCCGCAAGGCAUCUGUGAAGGUGCUGCAUGGUUGUCGUCAGCUCGUGCCGUGAGGUGUCGGCUUAAGUGCCAUAACGAGCGCAACCCUUGUUGUCAGUUACUAACAGGUUCCGCUGAGGACUCUGACAAGACUGCCAUCGUAAGAUGUGAGGAAGGUGGGGAUGACGUCAAAUCAGCACGGCCCUUACGUCCGGGGCUACACACGUGUUACAAUGGGGGGUACAGAGGGCCGCUACCACGCGAGUGGAUGCCAAUCCCCAAAACCUCUCUCAGUUCGGACUGGAGUCUGCAACCCGACUCCACGAAGCUGGAUUCGCUAGUAAUCGCGCAUCAGCCACGGCGCGGUGAAUACGUUCCCGGGCCUUGUACACACCGCCCGUCAAGCCAUGGGAGCCGGGGGUACCUGAAGUGCGUAACCGCGAGGAGCGCCCUAGGGUAAAACUGGUGACUGGGGCUAAGUCAUAA
rnacentral:rRNA from 1 species